rnacentral:rRNA from 1 species
UCCCCGGGCUUAACCUGGGAAUGGCGUUUGGGACUGGGAGUCUGGAGUAGGGCAGAGGAGACUGGAAUUCCUGGUGUAGCAGUGAAAUGCGUAGAUAUCAGGAGGAACACCGAUGGCGAAGGCAGGUCUCUGGGCUGAUACUGACGCUCAUGCACGAAAGCGUGGGGAGCAAACAGGAUUAGAUACCCUGGUAGUCCACGCCCUAAACGAUGUCGACUGGUUGUUGGGGGUUUGACACUCUCAGUAACGAAGCUAACGCGUGAAGUCGACCGCCUGGGGAGUACGGCCGCAAGGUUAAAACUCAAAGGAAUUGACGGGGACCCGCACAAGCGGUGGAUUAUGUGGAUUAAUUCGAUGCAACGCGAAAAACCUUACCUACCCUUGACAUGUCCGGAAGCCUGAAGAGAUUCAGGUGUGCCCGAAAGGGAACUGGAACACAGGUGCUGCAUGGCUGUCGUUAGCUCGUGUCGUGAGAUGUUGGGUUAAGUCCCGCAACGAGCGCAACCCUUGUCAUUAGUUGCUACAUUUAGUUGGGCACUCUAAUGAGACUGCCGGUGACAAACCGGAGGAAGGUGGGGAUGACGUCAAGUCCUCAUGGCCCUUAUGGGUAGGGCUUCACACGUAAUACAAUGGCGCGUACAGAGGGUUGCUAAGCCGCGAGGUGGAGCCAAUCCCUAGAAAGCGCGUCGUAGUCCGGAUUGCAGUCUGCAACUCGACUGCAUGAAGUCGGAAUCGCUAGUAAUCGCGGAUCAGCAUGUCGCGGUGAAUACGUUCCCGGGUCUUGUACACACCGCCCGUA